AUUCUCGUUUGAGAAACGUUAUCGAAAUGAGUACGCUUUACACACGCUAACGAGUAGCAAUUGGAGGGCAAGUCUGGUGCCAGCAGCCGCGGUAAUUCCAGCUCCAAUAGCGUAUAUUAAAGUUGCUGCGGUUAAAACGCUCGUAGUUGAAUUGUGGUCUUAGACAACAGUCCCCCUACAAAGGUGUGGCACGGUUGCUCGAGAUCUUCAUUCGUGGUUGCUGUUGUUGCUCUUCAUUGAGUGUCAAUGGUGCCUCGAGAUUUUACUUUGAAAAAAUUAGAGUGCUCAAAGCAGGUUGUGAUGCCUGAAUAAUGGUGCAUGGAAUAAUAGAAUACGAUCUCGGUUCUAUUUUGUUGGUUUUCGAACCGGGGAUAAUGAUUGAAAGGAACAGACGGGGGCAUUCGUAUUGCUGCGUUAGAGGUGAAAUUCUUGGAUCGCAGCAAGAUGAACAAUUGCGAAAGCAUUUGCCAAGAAUGUUUUCAUUAAUCAAGAACGAAAGUUAGAGGUUCGAAGGCGAUCAGAUACCGCCCUAGUUCUAACGGUAAACUAUGCCAACCAGCGAUUCGCCGAAGUUCAUUUAAGACUCGGCGAGCAGCUUCCGGGAAACCAAAGUGUUUCGGUUCCGGGGGAAGUAUGGUUGCAAAGCUGAAACUUAAAGGAAUUGACGGAAGGGCACCACCAGGAGUGGAGCCUGCGGCUUAAUUUGACUCAACACGGGAAAACUCACCCGGCCCGGACACUGGAAGGAUUGACAGAUUGACAGCUCUUUCUUGAUUCAGUGGGUAGUGGUGCAUGGCCGUUCUUAGUUGGUGGAGCGAUUUGUCUGGUUAAUUCCGAUAACGAACGAGACUCUACCCUAUUAAAUAGUGACAGUAUUGUAUCAAAUUGAAAGCUGCACGAAAAAGAGCAAUAACAGGUCUGUGAUGCCCUUCGAUGUCCGGGGCUGCACGCGCGCUACAAUGAAAGCGUCAACGUGAGUUACGUCCUUACCUGAAAAGGUUUGGCAAUCGAAUGAAACGUUUUCUUGAAUGGAAUAGGGAAUUGCAAUUGUUUCCCUUGAACGAGGAAUUCCCAGUAAGCGUGAGUCAUUAGCUCGCGUUGAUUACGUCCCUGCCCUUUGUACACACCGCCCGUCGCUACUACCGAUUGGAUGAUUUAGUGAGGUGUUUUGACUGGCGCCAGUAGUCGGAUAUGUAUUCGGCUUCGCGCCGGGAAAUUUCCCAAACCAAAUCAUCUA
rnacentral:rRNA from 1 species